GCAAUGGCCGGCGCCCCUCCCCCAGCCUCGCUGCCGCCUUGCAGUUUGAUCUCAGACUGCUGUGCUAGCAAUCAGGAAGACUCUGUGGGUGUGGGACCCUCCGAGCCAGGUGCGGGAUGUAAUCUCGUGGUGCGCCGUUUUUUAAGCCCGUCGGAAAAGCGCAGUAUUCGGGUGGGAGUGACCCGAUUUUCCAGGUGCCGUCCAUCACCCCUUUUUUUGACUCGGAAAGGGAACUCCCUGACCCCUUAUGCUUCCCAAGUGAGGCAAUGCCUCGCCCUGCUUCGUCUCGCGCACGGUGCGCGCUCCCACUGACCUGCGCCCACUGUCUGGCACUCCCUAGUGAGAUGAACCCGGUACCUCAGAUGGAAAUGCAGAAAUCACUGUCUUCUGCGUCGCUCACGCUGGGAGCUGUAUACCGGAGCUGUUCCUAUUCGGCCAUCUUGGCUCCCAAGAUAUAAGGAAGUUUCUAGCAUUUGAAGAGAGAUGCAGAAGAACCCAUUCAUUAUUGCAUCCAGCACCCAGAAAAGUUCCUAACACAUACUAAGAAGAUUGAAAUCCCGAGAAACAAUUUUCUGAAGAAAUGAAAUCAUAUGCCCUCCUGAACUCUUUGGGGGAAAAUAGCCUCUCUGUUUGCUCAGAAUAUGAAACAGUAAAACAGUACAAGUAAAACAGUCAGCCUUGCCAUGCCAUGUCACAGUUCUAUUUGUAGCGUUUGAAAUGACAUUUAAAAAGAUCUUCUGGGACUUUACUUAUUUAUUUAUUUAAGAACUAACUAGUACGAAUAAUAUUUGC
rnacentral:lncRNA from 10 species